rnacentral:rRNA from 1 species
GGAGGGUGCAAGCGUUAUCCGGAUUCACUGGGUUUAAAGGGUGCGUAGGUGGGUUGGUAAGUCAGUGGUGAAAUCUCCGAGCUUAACUUGGAAACUGCCGUUGAUACUAUCAAUCUUGAAUAUCGCGUAGGUAAGCGGAAUAUGUCAUGUAGCGGUGAAAUGCUUAGAUAUGACAUAGAACACCAAUUGCGAAGGCAGCUUACUUCACGAUCAUUGACACUGAGGCACGAAAGCGUGGGGAGCAAACAGGAUUAGAUACCCUGGUAGUCCACGCCCUAAACGAUGGAUACUCGACAUUAGCGAUACACUGUUAGUGUCUGAGCGAAAGCAUUAAGUAUCCCACCUGGGAAGUACGACCGCAAGGUUGAA